rnacentral:rRNA from 1 species
GACGAACGCUGGCGGCGUGCCUAAUACAUGCAAGUAGAACGCUGAAGGAGGAGCUUGCUUCUCUGGAUGAGUUGCGAACGGGUGAGUAACGCGUAGGUAACCUGCCUGGUAGCGGGGGAUAACUAUUGGAAACGAUAGCUAAUACCGCAUAAGAUUGACUAUUGCAUGAUAGUCAGUUAAAAGGUGCAAUUGCAUCACUACCAGAUGGACCUGCGUUGUAUUAGCUAGUUGGUGGGGUAACGGCUCACCAAGGCGACGAUACAUAGCCGACCUGAGAGGGUGAUCGGCCACACUGGGACUGAGACACGGCCCAGACUCCUACGGGAGGCAGCAGUAGGGAAUCUUCGGCAAUGGACGGAAGUCUGACCGAGCAACGCCGCGUGAGUGAAGAAGGUUGUCGGAUCGUAAAGCUCUGUUGUAAGAGAAGAACGAGUGUGAGAGUGGAAAGUUCACACUGUGACGGUAGCUUACCAGAAAGGGACGGCUAACUACGUG